rfam:Bacterium TMED15 isolate TMED15 145314, whole genome shotgun sequence.
GCCGGUGUAGCUCAACUGGUUAGAGCGUACGACUCAUAAUCGUAAGGUUUCGAGUUCAAGUCUCGACACCGGCA